rnacentral:rRNA from 1 species
AGAGUUUGAUCCUGGCUCAGAACGAACGCUGGCGGCGUGCCUAACACAUGCAAGUCGAGCGCGAAAGUCCCUUCGGGGGCGAGUAGAGCGGCGGACGGGUGAGUAAUACAUGGAUAAUCUCCCUUCGAGCUCGGGAUAACACUGCGAAAGCGGUGCUAAUACCGGAUAAGACCACGUCACCCAGGUGAUGCGGUAAAAGAUGGCUUUGUUUUCGGAUGAGGCUAUCACUUGAGGAUGAGUCCAUGGCCUAUCAGCUUGUUGGUGAGGUAAAGGCUCACCAAGGCGAUGACGGGUAGCUGGUCUGAGAGGACGACCAGCCACACUGGGACUGAGACACGGCCCAGACUCCUACGGGAGGCAGCAGUGGGGAAUAUUGGGCAAUGGGCGAAAGCCUGACCCAGCGACGCCGUGUGGGCGAUGAAGGCCUUCGGGUUGUAAAGCCCUGUUGGGUGGAAAGAAGGGCUCUAGGACGAAUAAUCCCUGAGUCUUGACGGUACCACCAGAGGAAGCACCGGCUAACUCCGUGCCAGCAGCCGCGGUAAUACGGAGGGUGCAAGCGUUGUUCGGAAUUACUGGGCGUAAAGGGCGCGUAGGUGGUUGUGUAAGUCAGAUGUGAAAUCCCGAGGCUCAACCUCGGAACUGCAUCUGAUACUGCAUGACUAGAGUGCAGCAGAGGGAAACGGAAUUCCCAGUAUAGAGGUGAAAUUCGUAGAUAUUGGGAGGAACACCGGUGGCGAAGGCGGUUUCCUGGGCUGACACUGACACUGAGGCGCGAAAGCGUGGGUAGCAAACAGGAUUAGAUACCCUGGUAGUCCACGCUGUAAACGGUGAAUA